GUCACAAUAGCUUGGAUUUAAAAACAAAAAACUUUUUUUUACUGUUAUAGAUUGAAUAGCAGUCAGUGUCCUUAAAGCGGGUGUGUUACGCUAACAGUGGAUACGCUGACAAGUGCCACUAAUUAGAUCUGGUGUCACAAUAGUUUGGAUUUAAAAAAAAAAAAAUCUUUUUUCACUGUUAUAGAUUGAAUAGCAGUCAGUGUCCUUAAAGCGGGUGUGUUACGCUAACAGUGGAUACGCUAACAAGUGCCACUAAUUAG